GAUUAAGGGCAUACCACCCUGAACACGCCUGACCUCAUCUGAUCUCAGAAGCUAAGCAGAGUCAGGCUGGUUAGUAUUUGGCUGGGAGGCAAAAUAGUUACUAACAUGAGCAAAUAUUUAGAUCCUACCA
rnacentral:rRNA from 1 species